AUGGCUUUCGGCUCGGUAGAUCCAGCCCGGCCCCGCAGGACAGAAAGUUCAGCGGGCGGACACUUCCCGUGCAGAAGCGGGGCUCUCCCGGCCCCGAAGGGUGACCCGUCUCUUCUUUGUCAGCCGCUCGGCGCGGGCAUCAUCCGGCCGGCCGGCUCGGGUUUAAAGAGGGGUCGAAGGGGAGGGAGCGAGGCGGGGAGAGAUCCGUUGCCGCCGCCGCUUCAAAUCGCGGCCGGAGCGCCGGCUCCCUGGCUGUGGCUGGCAACGCAGGAGCGCGCGGGUCCGUCUCUCCCUCGGCGGACUCGGCCCGAGUCCCUCAGACGCUCAGUCCCUCGCGGCCGCCGACAUCCCGGCUUCCGAACCGCCUCGGCUCCUCCCCGCCAACCUGGCCAUCCGCUCGCCCGGUCCCGCUGGCUGCGCCGUCACCGGGCGGCCCCCAGCCGCCCCGCUCCCCUCGGGCGGCGCAGCCCCGGCAGCCCGGAGCCCUGCCCGAGCGGCGGCCCGGCGCGCUGUGACAGCGGGCGCCCGGGCAGGGCGGGAGGCGCCGAGGGACCGCGGGGCCUAUGGACGCACCGCCCGGCGGCGGGCAGGCGGCUCCCGCUAGGCGGCACGGGUCCAGGGCCCCGGCAUCGCUCCUCCACCCCUUUCCGCCGGCGUUCGCUCGCCUUCCUUCGUCAGCGCCGCUUCGGUUUGUCGCGCGCUGCUUUCCUAACGCACGGGCGCGUGAACCGUCUGCAGGAUGAAGGCAGGGCUACGUACGGCUGGAAGGAUGCUCGGGAGCGGGGCGGGGAGCUCGGGGGGAACGGAACCAAAACAAACCAGGGGCGAAAAAAAACGCCGCACACCUUAGGCGGGGAGGGGAAGGCAGCCCCUAACAGUUGUCAACAGCUCUGGGUCUGCGCCGUUUCUCUGCCAUAUGGCCUGAUCUCCAACGGAGGAGCCGAGGGCUUUAGCUCAGCGGCUUCACGUGAGACGUAUCCUCGGCAUCAGCAGAUAUGUAUUCAGACAUCUUUUUCUCUUCUUUUUUUUUCUCCUUAA
rnacentral:lncRNA from 1 species